UCAGAGGGGGGUAGAAUNCCACGUGUAGCAGUGAAAUGCGUAGAGAUGUGGAGGAAUACCGAUGGCGAAGGCAGCCCCCUGGGAUAGCACUGACGUUCAUGCCCGAAAGCGUGGGUAGCAAACAGGAUUAGAUACCCUGGUAGUCCACGCCCUAAACGAUGUCGAUUAGCUGUUGGGCAACUUGAUUGCUUGGUAGCGAAGCUAACGCGUGAAAUCGACCGCCUGGGGAGUACGGUCGCAAGAUUAAAACUCAAAGGAAUUGACGGGGACCCGCACAAGCGGUGGAUGAUGUGGAUUAAUUCGAUGCAACGCGAAGAACCUUACCUGGUCUUGACAUGUACGGAACCUUCCAGAGACGGAAGGGUGCCUUCGGGAGCCGUAACACAGGUGCUGCAUGGCUGUCGUCAGCUCGUGUCGUGAGAUGUUGGGUUAAGUCCCGCAACGAGCGCAACCCUUGUCAUUAGUUGCCAUCAUUUGGUUGGGCACUCUAAUGAGACUGCCGGUGACAAGCCGGAGGAAGGUGGGGAUGACGUCAAGUCCUCAUGGCCCUUAUGACCAGGGCUUCACACGUCAUACAAUGGUCGGUACAGAGGGUAGCCAAGCCGCGAGGUGGAGCCAAUCCCAAAAAACCGAUCGUAGUCCGGAUUGCACUCUGCAACUCGAGUGCAUGAAGUCGGAAUCGCUAGUAAUCGCAGGUCAGCAUACUGCGGUGAAUACGUUCCCGGGUCUUGUACACACCGCCCGUCACACCAUGGGAGUGGGGGAUACCAGAAGCAGGUAGGCUAACCGCAAGGGGGCCGCUUG
rnacentral:rRNA from 1 species